UACGUAGGCAGCAAGCGUUGUUCGGAGUUACUGGGCGUAAAGAGUGCGUAGGCGGUUCUCUAAGUUUGGUGUGAAAUCUCCCGGCUCAACUGGGGGGGUGCGCCGAAAACUGGCGGGCUAGAGUACGGGAUGGGAGAGUAGAAUUCCUGGUGUAGCGGUGAAAUGCGUAGAUAUCAGGAGGAAUACCGGUGGUGUAGACGGCUCUCUGGACCGUAACUGACACUGAGACACGAAAGCGUGGGUAGCAAACAGG
rnacentral:rRNA from 1 species